rnacentral:rRNA from 1 species
UACGUAGGGGGCAAGCGUUGUCCGGAUUCAUUGGGCGUAAAGAGCGUGUAGGCGGCCAGGUAGGUCGGUUGUGAAAACUGGAGGCUCAACCUUCAGACGUCGACCGAAACCAUCUGGCUAGAGUCCGGGAGAGGAGAGUGGAAUUCCUGGUGUAGCGGUGAAAUGCGCAGAUAUCAGGAAGAACACCCGUGGCGAAGGCGGCUUCGUGGGUCCGCCCGACACUGAGGCACGAAAGCUAGGGAGCAACAGG